AGCAUUUUUAUAGUUUCCAGACAAUUACUUGUGUUCAAGUGUAUGGAUCUCUCUGAAAUUGUACUGCAAGGUACCAUACCACAAAGGGAAGGCUGGGAUUGAUUUUGGGGGUAAUUCCCUCAAAAUUUUAGGAAUAAGGGGCCAAAAAGGGAAAAAAACAAGCAUUUUUCUAGUUUCAGGACAAUAACUUGUGUUCAAGUGUAUGGAUCUCUCUGAAAUUGUACUGCAAGGUACCAUACCACAAAGGGAAGGCUGGGAUUGAGUUUGGGGGUGAUGAAUCAUAAGGGGUUUCAAAAAAUUGGGGGGGGGUUUCCUUUUUUUUCUUUUUUUCCUUUUUUUUUCUUUUAAAAUUUUCCAUUUUAAGUUGGUUAUUUCUGAUUUAUAUUUAAAAGCAAAUAAUAAUGAUAUGGUAGGAGAUACACACCAAACAGGAUGUGUAAAUUAUUAUAUAAUAAGUAUUGUGCUAUAGCAAGAAAUUUUCAAUUGCACAGUAUUGCACAAUAGCAAGAAAUCUUUCAUUGCACAGUAUUGCGCAAUAGCAAGAAAUCUUCAAUUGCACAGUAUUGCGCAAUAGCAAGAAAUAUCCAAUAGCACAAUAUUGCGCAAUAGCAAGAAAUUGUCAAUUGUACAGUAUUGCGCAAUAGCAAGAAAUAUUCAAUUGCACAGUAUUAAUUGCUUAUAUCUUGACCAAUUUCAAUGGGGUUUUAUUCUUGAAUUCUUGGGGUUCUUUAAUAUGCUGAAUCUAACCGUGUAUUAAGUUUUUGGAUUUUGGGCCCCGAUUUUAAAUUGGUCCACAUUGAGGUCCAAAGGGUCCAAAAUUAAACUUUGUUUGAUUUCAUCAAAAAUUGAAUUAUUGGGGUUCUUUGAUAUGCCGAAUCUAACCGUGUAUUUAGAUUCUUAAUUUUUGGUUCCGUUUUCAAAUUGGUCUACAUUAAGGUCCAAAGGGUUCAAAAUUAAACUUAGUUUGAUUUUAACAAAAAUUGAAUUCUUAGGGUUCUUUGAUAUGCUGAAUCUAAACAUGUAUUUAGAUUUUUGAUUAUGGGCCCAGUUUUCAAGUUGGUCCAAAUCGGGGUCCAAAAUUAAACUUUGUUUGAUUCAACAAAAAUUGAAUAUAUGGGGUUCUUUGAUAUGCUGAAUCUAACCAUGUAUUUAGAUUUUUGAUUUUUGGGCCCCGUUAUCAACUUUGUCCACAUUGAGGUCAAAAGGGUCCUAAAUUAAACUUUGUUUGAUUUCAUCAAAAAUUGAAUUCUUGGAGUUCUUUGAUAUGCCGAAUCUAACCGUGUAGUUAGAUUCUUAAUUUUUGGUUCCGUUUUCAAAUUGGUCUACAUUAAGGUCCAAAGGGUUCAAAAUUAAACUUAGUUUGAUUUUAACAAAAAUUGAAUUCUUAGGGUUCUUUGAUAUGCUGAAUCUAACCAUGUAUUUAGAUUUUUGAUUUUUGGGCCCCGUUAUCAACUUUGUCCACAUUGAGGUCAAAAGGGUCCUAAAUUAAACUUUGUUUGAUUUCAUAAAAACUUGAAUUCUUGGGGUUCUUUGAUAUGCUUAAUCUAACCAUGUAUUUAGAUUUUGGAUAUUGGACCAUAAUAGGUGAAUGUCCAAUUUAAUAAAAAAAAAUUAAGUUCUUAGACCACAUUCAUUCUGUGUCAGUAACCUAUGCUGUGUCAAAUAUUUAAUCACAAUCCAAAUUCAGAGCUGUAUCAAGCUUGAAUGUUGUGUCCAUACUUGCCCCAACUGUUCAGGGUUUGACCUCUGCGGUCGUAUCAAGCUGCGCCCUGCGGAGCAUUUUAUUUUUUUAUAUAAUCUAGAACAGCAUGGAUUUAAAGUAGUUAUCCCAUUCGGACUUGGUGUCAGUGAAAGAUCAUCCUCCGGCCUCCGGCCAUCGGGUUGAUCUUACACGGACACACCGCGUCACCAUGGGAUAACUAUAACAUUAACAGUUUAUCUUGAUGAAUACUUGUUAUUACCAAGCUGUUUUAGAAGUGGUAAUCUACAAAUGAUCACAUUUUUUCUCUGUGUGCUUUAUUUGAGCUAUUGCCUUUUAAAAAGAAAAAAACUUCAUUGUGCAUUUGUGGAUUAAGAGAAGGCGCUUGACUUUAUAAAAAUUCGUUAGUUUGUAAACUUUUACAAAAUAAUAUAAAUGGUAGAUUUUUACUCAUUAUACAAAAUAUGUAUGAAGGGAUUAAAUCAUAUAUCAGACAUAAUGAUGAAUGUUCAGGUUUUUUUUUAUAUAAAUGUGAACUAGGAGUUAGACAAGGAGAAAAUCUAUCUCCUGUUCUAUUUUAAUUGUAUCUUAAUGAUCUUCAAUCAUAUUUAGAAGAAAAUGAUAUAUAAGGUGUAGAAUCUAUCAGUUGCGAUAUAGGAAAUGAGUUAAUGGUUUCUCUUAAAAUUCUAUUGGUUUGUAUGCAGACGUAGAGGUAGAUAAAUUCUAUUUUGUAAUAAAAAAAGAUUGAAAUUGUUACAA